UUGCUUUUCAAUGACCAAACUCAGGAUCAACUUCAAGCGUUCCAAGAGAGGAAACAAAAAGGACUGCCAUUCAGUCCAGGAACAGACUGAAAUUCCCUCUACUGAUGCACAUUGCAUAGCUCCAGUUGGAGAGGUUUCUCCCUCCAUAUCUCAGCUUGUCAAAAAAAGAUCCUUGAUUGUCAGGGUCUUUUCAGCAAUAAUGAAGCCAUUCAGGCGCUUCACCAAGAACCUGUAACCUGUUACGCUGCAUGAAGAACUACUUUUGUAACAGCAAGACUUUUGACAAGAGGAAUUUCUGCAUGUCUACCCUUUCAAAGUCUAUUUGAUCAAAUAAAUGCCAAUGAUUUUACAA